rnacentral:tRNA from 1 species
GAAUUCGUGAUGUAGUGGUCAGCACGCUCGACGCGUAACCGAGAGGUCCGUGGUUCAAUUCCCGGCGAAGGCG